rnacentral:ncRNA from 1 species
UAUUAGCUGUUGAAGAGAAUAGUAACAUUAGAAGGUGUUUAAGAGAGUCGAUGGUUGGUGCAAAUCGAUACAAGUUCAAUGUGAAUCCGCCUUGGAGGCUUAUUACGAUGAGUAAUACGGAGAAAACCGUUAAAACAUUAGAGAGGAUUAUAAUUUGUUCUAAAUGAACAUAUUGUAAUCAAUUAGGGUGGCAACACGAGACAUUCGUCCCUUUU